rnacentral:lncRNA from 1 species
AGCAAAGGAAUGGUGUUGCGUGGAAAAGUGACGCAGUGAUGAGAGAGAAAGCACAAUGGUAAAAUUGGAAACCUAUUUGAACAGAAAUGAAACUCAAUCAGAGAAACAAUCAAGACAGUGAAGGCAAUGCAAUGAACAACACGGAAACAUGAAGAGAAAUUGCACAAGAUACUCAAGAUACUCAGAAUCAAACGAAACUCAGACAACUCAAGAUCAAAACCAAAACAGAAGCGAGACUCAGAAUCAAAUGAAACAACUCAUACCGAAUCAGAAUCAAGACAAAAUCGAAACAAGAUGAAAAAAAAACAAAAUCAGAGAUAGACAGAGAUACUUAUCUGUUGAAGCGUGCUCAAACCGAGCUCUGAAUACCACUUGAUACGCUCGGCUCUGGCGAAGAUCAUAGAUCGGACACAGAUCGAGUUGAGAAGACGACAAAAGACACAACGGAAUGGAGGAAAUGUGAGAUAGAACUCACGGAAACCCUAAAUNAAGGGGAAAACCAUAAAUCGAANGGAGAAACACCGAUUGGANCNAUUAANCGGUGUAAAANGNAUAUUAAACGGUGGAAAUGGUUCAACAGAGGUUUUAAUCGGAGGAUUUGGGAAACAAUCGAUGAAAGGUGAUGGAAAACCUAAAAAUGGAGGUUCUAGGGUUUAGAAAUUCAAGGCAAGAAGAGGAAAGGUUAGAUCUGUGAGGAGGAAUGGGUUUUACCGGUGAAAAGAAGUACCAAUGGUGAUGGAUNUGUGGUUGAAGCUUGAGAGCGAGACGAGCUCUCGAGGAGGCGCGAGUAAUGUGUGUCUGAUGUGCGAGAAUGAAAAUGAAGCACUGAUGAUAUGGUAGGUUUGUGACGCAUACACGAGACACUGAACAUGUGUCACGGGAGAAUGGAUUCGUGUGGAGGAGGGAGAAGCACUGUGGAUAAUUGGAAAUUGGAAAAUAAUGAAGUGUGCUUUGGAAGGAGGCUAGAGGUCUUUGGACUCUCUAGCCAAUGACUUUUAAGAGAGAAUAAUUUUCUGAAUUAGAAAAG